CCCACGCUGGGGGCGCGACCUCGGGGAGAGCUGGCUGGGGGUCGUUUGUGGCUCCGUUAAAUUACCUGCACUUAAAAAAAAAUUAUUUAUUCAUGAUAGACACAGAGAGAGAGAGAGAGAGAGAGGCAGAGACACAGGCAGAGGGAGAAGCAGGCUCCACGCAGGUAGCCCGAUGCGGGACUCGAUCUCGGGACUCCAGGAUCAUGCCCUGGGCCGAAGGCAGUGCUAAACCGCUGAGCCCCCCAGGGAUCUCCCUACCUGAACAUUUUUGAAAUGGAAUGCAUUAUUUCAGAAUCACAUAUUCUUGUUUUAAUUAACUUUUAAUUUUUCUGAACUUUCAAUUAUCCCUGGACUGGGAGCAAAGCCCGUUGGGCAGCGCUGGCUCUGCAAUUGAGGAGCAGGUGCGGGUAGUGAGGGGGGAGGACGGCCCAGGCCGCCGAGCUCGGGUCCAUCCUCACAGGUCCUUGUCUCCCACACAGGGUCCCUGCUAGGCCCGAACCCACCGUGCGUAGGACCCAGAAGCCCUGAGACGUUAAGGUUUUGACGCAGAAGGUUAAUGACUGAGCGGACGAAAUCCCGCCUUGGAGAACCGGGGAUCGUAUCCAAGGGUCUACACCUGUAGGCACAGAGAUCCGUCCUCUCCCCGCUCCCUGACGAUCGUGCGCGAGUCCUCCGGACAGUCGGACAGUCGUGCCGUGCUGACCGUUCGCUCUGUGCCUGGGAGGAAAGCCUGCCUGUCGGGGCGUGCGGGGCGCCACAGCCCUCCUCUCACCUCCUCGCCAGGUGUUCACGCCGUGUGACCUGCCGUGACGCCGGCAGGAAGGCAGACCGACGGCACAGCUGGGACACUGUCCUGUCAGAUAAGGAGCCCUGGGUGCGGAUUCCUCACCACCGCACGUGUGAAGACGGAGCAGGGAGGAGCCCGGCCACCGAGCCAAGCGGGAGCGAGCAGACUCAGGAGGUAGAUGCUCUGAAACUAGAAAUGGUCUCAGAGGAAACUGCCAGGAGGGCAGUGGGUGUCACCAGGGUGCUACCCCAGCCACUCCAGGACCGGAGGGAUGCCCCGUGGUGAGCAGCGCACACAUUCAACACUGACACCCUCUCUCCGGUGACUCCUCACGGACAGUCCUGGCAGCAAGCAGG
rnacentral:lncRNA from 1 species